UGGGGAAUAUUGCACAAUGGAGGGAACUCUGAUGCAGCGACGCCGCGUGAACGAAGAAGGCUUUCGAGUCGUAAAGUUCUUUUAUAUGGGAAGAUAAUGACGGUACCAUAAGAAGAAGCCCCGGCUAACUACGUGCCAGCAGCCGCGGUAAUACGUAGGGGGCUAGCGUUGUCCGGAAUCACUGGGCGUAAAGGGUUCGCAGGCGGAAAUGCAAGUCAGGUGUAAAAGGCAGUAGCUUAACUACUGUAAGCAUUUGAAACUGCAUAUCUUGAGAAGAGUAGAGGUAAGUGGAAUUUUUAGUGUAGCGGUGAAAUGCGUAGAUAUUAAAAAGAAUACCGGUGGCGAAGGCGACUUACUGUGCUCAUUCUGACGCUGAGGAACGAAAGCGUGGGUAGCAAACAGG
rnacentral:rRNA from 1 species